rnacentral:rRNA from 1 species
AAUAGAUACCCCGGUAGUCCAUGCCGUAAACGUUGGGAACUAGGUGUGGGUCUCAUUCCACGAGAUCCGUGCCGCAGCUAACGCAUUAAGUUCCCCGCCUGGGGAGUACGGCCGCAAGGCUAAAACUCAAAGGAAUUGACGGGGGCCCGCACAAGCGGCGGAGCAUGCGGAUUAAUUCGAUGCAACGCGAAGAACCUUACCAAGGCUUGACAUACACCGGAAACAUCCAGAGAUGGGUGCCCCGCAAGGUCGGUGUACAGGUGGUGCAUGGUUGUCGUCAGCUCGUGUCGUGAGAUGUUGGGUUAAGUCCCGCAACGAGCGCAACCCUCGUUCUAUGUUGCCAGCACGUGAUGGUGGGGACUCAUAGGAGACUGCCGGGGUCAACUCGGAGGAAGGUGGGGAUGACGUCAAAUCAUCAUGCCCCUUAUGUCUUGGGCUUCACGCGUGCUACAAUGGCCGGUACAAAGGGCUGCGAAACCGUGAGGUGGAGCGAAUCCCAAAAAACCGGUCUCAGUUCGGAUUGGGGUCUGCAACUCGACCCC